rnacentral:lncRNA from 1 species
AAGUGUUUGGUUCGUGACUAACUUUAGGCAGCCACAAAAAGUGUGGCGAGGUUCCCUGAGCUUGCCAUACUUUUUUUCGCCGCAUCUGGGGCGCUCGUUUUCGAUGCCCCAGCACCGCUACGCGCCGCACUUCGCCCCCUUCUCUCCCUCUCAUGCCGCUGGUUGAUCUCUCGUCAUCUCCUCCUCCAAGCACGGAUCUUCUCGUCGUCUCCUCCAAGCACGGUGAUGUCCCUCGUAUUUCUGCCACCCGGUUUUCUUGGCUCCCCUGUAUUCUUCUUCGCUCCUCCGCGUAGAUCUGCCCGUCGUUUCUUCUUUGAUUGUGCGGGCCGACGGCACCACACACGCACCCACCCCCAUCCUGCAGCAGAUCCGCACGGCACCACACACGCAGAUCCCCACGGCACCCUACAGCAGACCUCUGCAUUUCACAGUCCCCAGGCCGCUAGGGGCUAGAUGGCUAGUCGGAGCGUCGGGCUCUGCUGCUAGGGGUAGCGUCAGGCUCUGCCGUCACAUCUAGGAGACGCUUGGUGUGAAGGAGAUGUCUGUACGUGCCAUGGCAUCUAGGAGCUUGGAUGGCUGGUGUGAAGGACUAGUACGUUGUCUGUUGAAUGCUAGUGAUGGCUGGUGUGAAGGAGCAGCAGCAAGCCAAGUACUACUACUCUGAAACUUUGUAAAAAUAUAUCAGGUUCCUGUUUUAGCUGGCCGCUAGCUGAUGCAAAGGUGUGCUGGAUCAGAAACCUGUUUUAGCAGCUGGAAUGUAGGAAAGAAUAUUUCUUAUUUUAGCAGCUGGAAUGUAGGAAUGCAUAGUUCUUCUAAUAGUUCUCUCCCUCAGAGCCUAACGAUUUAUUUUUUUCUUGUGCUUGUGCAGGACCAGGAGCACUGAAAUUCUAUCUCAACCGGUUCUGCCGACUGGGUAACUUGAAUUCUAAAGGUUGAUCCAAGCAGGAGGUGAAUGUGUGAUGGUUGGUUAUUUUGCAUUUCUUCUAGGUUGAUGCAUGACGGUUCAUGGAGAAGGCUGGUGGUUGUGAUAGCUAUCACACACUCUUUUGGUUAAUAAUUAGAUACUCUUUUUGUUGAGCAAUGUGAACCUUUAAUGGUGUUUAUGGGUC